ensembl:snRNA U6 U6 spliceosomal RNA
GUGCUCACUUUGGCUGCACAUAUACUAAAAUUAGAACAAUACAGAGAAUAUUAGCAUGGCCCCAGUGAAAGGAUGACAAGCAAAUCUGUGUAAUAUCCAUACUUGAG